GACGAACGCUGGCGGCGUGCCUAAUACAUGCAAGUAGAACGCUGAAGAGAGGAGCUUGCUCUUCUUGGAUGAGUUGCGAACGGGUGAGUAACGCGUAGGUAACCUGCCUUGUAGCGGGGGAUAACUAUUGGAAACGAUAGCUAAUACCGCAUAACAAUGGAUGACACAUGUCAUUUAUUUGAAAGGGGCAAUUGCUCCACUACAAGAUGGACCUGCGUUGUAUUAGCUAGUAGGUGAGGUAAUGGCUCACCUAGGCGACGAUACAUAGCCGACCUGAGAGGGUGAUCGGCCACACUGGGACUGAGACACGGCCCAGACUCCUACGGGAGGCAGCAGUAGGGAAUCUUCGGCAAUGGGGGCAACCCUGACCGAGCAACGCCGCGUGAGUGAAGAAGGUUUUCGGAUCGUAAAGCUCUGUUGUAAGUCAAGAACGGGUGUGAGAGUGGAAAGUUCACACUGUGACGGUAGCUUAACAGAAAGGGACGGCUAACUACGUG
rnacentral:rRNA from 1 species